rnacentral:lncRNA from 1 species
UAGUUGGUCCUAGAAGGACCUUCCCCAUACUCUGCAUCUUUGGCUCCCUUGAACACCUGCACCAGCUCGCGAAGUCCCAGCAGCAAGUAGGUUCUGGCUAAAUGCUCAUCUUCAUUUCCCUUAGCAUUCUGGCAGUCCUCAACCUUUCUGAUGAAUUUCUUUUCCAACUCUACUAAACCCCGCUCCAAGCAACCCACUCGUUUGUUGGCGCUGACAGCCAUGUCUUUCCAUUCUUCAAUCAGCUUUUGGUUGGCUUCUUGAAUUUCAUGGUGCUCAUUUUCGCAUUCUCGAAUCCUCUUACACAAUUGGUUGUACUUGACCUGUGCUUCCGACUUUUCAUCGAUGAUCCUGUGACCUCGAUCAAACCCUGGUUGACCCAGACCAUUUUGAUUGUCUUCUAACCAGUUGGG